AACGAACGCUGGCGGCAUGCCUAACACAUGCAAGUCGAACGCUCCGCAAGGGGAGUGGCGAACGGGUGAGUAACACGUGGGUGACCUGCCCUCAGCUCUGGGAUAAGCCUGGGAAACCGGGUCUAAUACUGGAUAUGACUCCAUGACGCAUGUUGUGGGGUGGAAAGCCUUGUGCGGCUGAGGAUGGGCCCGCGGCCUAUCAGCUUGUUGGUGGGGUGAUGGCCUACCAAGGCGACGACGGGUAGCCGGCCUGAGAGGGCGACCGGCCACACUGGGACUGAGACACGGCCCAGACUCCUACGGGAGGCAGCAGUGGGGAAUCUUGCGCAAUGGGCGAAAGCCUGACGCAGCGACGCCGCGUGAGGGAUGACGGCCU
rnacentral:rRNA from 1 species